GGGCCCAUAGCUCAGUCGGUUAGAGCAGGUGGCUCAUAACCACUUUGUCGGGGGUUCAAGUCCCUCUGGGCCCACCA
rnacentral:tRNA from 1 species